GAUGAACGCUGGCGGCGUGCUUAACACAUGCAAGUCGAACGGGAAACCUCUUAUUGAAGCUUCGGCAGGUUUAGCUGGUUUCUAGUGGCGGACGGGUGAGUAACGCGUGGGUAACCUGCCUUAUACAGGGGGAUAACAGUAAGAAAUGGCAGCUAAUACUGCAUAAUCGCACAGAGUUGCAUGGUUCAGUGUGAAAAACUCCGGUGGUAUAAGAUGGACCCGCGUUGGAUUAGCUGGUUGGUGGGGUAACGGCCCAGCAAGGUGACGGACCGUGGCCGGCCUGGGAGCGUGCCCGGCCGCAUUGGGACUACGACACAGCCCAGACUCCUACGGAGGGCAGCAGUAGAGAAUAUUGCACAAUGGAGCAAACCCUGAUAAAGCGACGCCGCGUAAAGGAAGAAGUAUCUCGGUAUGUACACUUCUAUCAGCAGGGAAGAUAAUGACGGUACCUGGCUAAGAAGCCCCGGCUAACUACGUG
rnacentral:rRNA from 1 species